rnacentral:tRNA from 1 species
GGGCAAUUAGCUCAGCUGGUUAGAGUAUCACGUUGACAUCGUGGGGGUCACUGGUUCGAUCCCAGUAUUGCCCA